UCCAAGGGAAACCGAUAAGUAAUCCGCUGGAGAGUACGCCAGCAACGGGGAAACUCAAAGGAAUUGAGGGGGGUCCGCACAAGCGGUGGAGACAUGUAGUUUAAUUCGAUGAUACGCGAGGAACCUUACCUGGACUAGAAUGUGCGAGAAGUAUUUAGAAAUAGAUACGCCAGCAAUGGCUCAAAACAAGGUACGGCAUGGCUGUCGUCAGUUCGUGCCGUGAGGGGUUGGGUUAAGUCCCGCAACGAACGCAACCCCUGUUGUCUGUUGCCAGCGAGUUAAGUCGGGGACUCAGACAAGACUGCCUACGCAAGUAGAGAGGAAGGAGGGGACGACGUCAAGUCAUCAUGGCCCUUACGUCCAGGGCAACACACGUGAUACAAUGGGCGAUACAGAGUGUUGCGAGCUAGUAAUAGUAAGCCAAUCACAAAAAGUCGGUUCACAGUUCGGAAUUGAGGUCUGC
rnacentral:rRNA from 1 species